rfam:Dorea sp. CAG:105 genomic scaffold, scf129
GAACUUGAUAGAGGUGCGGAUUUCAUCAGUAAGGAAGAACGAUAGUUUGGAAGACUGUUCUUUCAGAAAGGGGGAUUUGCCGAAGGAGUCAGAUAUUCCGGAUCUGAUUUCUGGGACGCAGACAGAAGAUGUUGCGUACUGUCACAGGAAUGUGGAGCGCUAUCACAGUA